rnacentral:rRNA from 1 species
GUAGUCUGCAACUCGACUACAUGAAGCUGGAAUCGCUAGUAAUCGCGAAUCAGAAUGUCGCGGUGAAUACGUUCCCGGGCCUUGUACACACCGCCCGUCACACCAUGGGAGUUGGAAGCGCCCGAAGUCGAUGACCCAACCGAAAGGGGGAGUCGCCGAAGGUGAAGCCAGUGACUGGGGUGAAGUCGUAACAAGGUAUC